rnacentral:rRNA from 1 species
UACGUAGGCAGCAAGCGUUGUUCGGAGUUACUGGGCGUAAAGAGUGCGUAGGCGGUCUUUUAAGUUUGGUGUGAAAUCUCCCGGCUCAACUGGGAGGGUGCGCCGAAAACUGGGAGGCUUGAGGAUGGGAGAGGCAUGCGGAAUUCCUGGUGUAGCGGUGAAAUGCGUAGAUAUCAGGAGGAACACCUGCGGUGUAGACAGCAUGCUGGACCAUUUCUGACGCUGAGGCAUGAAAGCGUGGGUAGCAAACAGG